rnacentral:rRNA from 14 species
AAACCGGAGGAAGGUGGGGACGACGUCAAGUCAUCAUGGCCCUUACGGGAUGGGCUACACACGUGCUACAAUGGCAAGUACAGAGGGCAGCAAUACCGCGAGGUGGAGCGAAUCCCACAAAGCUUGUCGUAGUCCGGAUUGGAGUCUGCAACUCGACUCCAUGAAGUCGGAAUCGCUAGUAAUCGUAGAUCAGAAUGCU